UUAUUUACACCCCUAAUAUUCCAAAAGAUCCACUUCAUUGAGUAUGGCUAGUUCCCCCUUCAUCCAGGGGAUGAUCAGCCCACCUAACUGUCCCAACUUUAAAUCUGUUAGACAUCACAAUAGGAGAUAAGGGAGGGAAUUAGUGAUGUUAAAGACUGGGGAGUCUUGUAUAGCAAUCUGCUUCUGUUUGUUCCCACCAUCAGCAGUAGCUAGAGUACUUGUCUCCUUUGGUAACUCUUGGCACUGGAUUUGAUCCAUCUGGUUAUUCUGGACCACUGUGACUGGUGCUUUCACUCUCCAUUCCUGUGUCACCUUGUUUUUCUGUGUGGUUGAGUAGAUUUAGCCAAACAGUUGUGUCCAACCUCCAAACAUUUCUCACAAUACACAUGUUUCCAAUCAUAAUCCACAUCCUGCAUGAAGCUCUUUCCAUUUGACAAAUAGUUGUGUCCAACCUCCAAACAUUUCUCACAAUACACAGGUUUCCAGUUAUACUCCACAUCCUGCAUGAAGCUCUUUCCAUUUGGAUCCAGAAUCUCUAUCUCACUAGGUAGCUUUCUCGACACAUUUACUUCAAUGAGCAAACGAGCAUAUGAGAUUCUGGAUUGCUUAGUAGUACGUUCGUCAGCAAAUAUAGGUCUACCAAGGACACUAGCAAUCCUACUUAAAGAUUUGCUACCCCAACAAGACAUAGGCAAGUUAGGGAACUUGAUCCACAAGGGAAUUUCCUUGUUUUUCUGUGUAGGUUGAGCAGAUUUAGCCAAACAGUUGUGUCCAACCUCCAAACAUUUCUCACAAUACACAGGUUUCCAAUCAUAAUCCACAUCCUGCAUGAAGCUCUUUCCAUUUGGAUCCAGAAUCUCUAUCUCACUAGGUAGCUUUCUCAACACAUUUACUUCAAUGAGCAUACGAGCAUAUGAGAUUCUGGAUUGCUUAGUAGUACAUUCGGCAGCAAAUAUAGGUCUACCAAGGACACUAGCAAUCCUACUUAAAGAUUUGCUACCCCAACAAGACAUAGGCAAGUUAGGGAACUUGAUCCACAAGGGAAUUUCUGAAGGAAAGGCUGCUUUGAAGUCAAAAUCAACAGACCACUGCUUCAAAAUCAUAGGUCUGUUGGCAAUAGUAUAAGGCCCCCCACACAGAAUUUCUUUGGCAUCGUCUAGAGAACUAAAUUUAACAAUAUAGUAGCCCUCAUCAUGAUAAAAUAGGUCAGGCUCAGGAACAUGAGACCAGUGAAGAUUAAUAAAUCUUUUCAUACCAUUAUACCCAGGGCUAUUACCUAGCACAAAUACAACAAGGGCACAUUUCCAUUUCAUUUCUUCCUCCUCCACCUCUUCCUUCACCAGCUGACCAACUGGUUUUCCAUUAACAAGUGUAGGGGGAAUAUACUCUAAUGACAUACCAUUUGCAGCAAGUCGAUUACUCUGGAAUAGACUAGCCCACUGUUUGGGUGGAUCAAUUUUUGCUCCUUCAUCACUACCAGCCUUUGGAACAACAGGUGGUGGUGGUUGUUGCAUGCAGAUCUGACCCCUAUUUUCAUGCUCCAUCGGGACAAUUACUGGACUGAUUGGAGGUUCUGUAACCCUCACAUUUGCUGUUGGUAUCAAGGAAACUCCAGAUGGUUGUGGAUCUACUGUUGCAUGAGGCAAUGAAACAGUUUCCUCAUCAGAAUUCAAUGGAACAGUGGUAACUACCUUUGGUACAGUGCUAACAGCUUUUGGGAAAACAACAUCACUUGCAUAAAUUGGUACUAAUUCUUUCCUUGGGCGACCUCUCCUUCUUGCCAUAACACCCUCUGCCAGGUUUACUUACCUAUGCAGAAGCAGCAGAGAAGAAGCAAAUGAAUCAGCGAAGAAGAAGAUGAG
rnacentral:lncRNA from 1 species